AGACAUUUAAAUGGAAGUUAGUUUUCCAGAGGGAUAUUGCAUUUAAAUACAACAUUUGCUUUGGUGGUGGGAUUAAGGAAGGAAUACAUCAACAUUGAGAUUAUGAAGGAGUGGGUGCCUUGGAGAAGAUGAACACACCAGAAGAGAAUUUCCAUACCAGGAAUAGUUGUGAGAUUUCAUGGCUGUGAAUUCCUUUCCAGUAAUAAACACAACUGUGAAAUGUGAGAAUUUUCCAUAGAAUUGAUUUUCAAAUUCUCUGCCAUCCUUGUCAUGGGUUUUUAAGGCUUAUUAGACAAAUGUGUUUAGAUGUAUUGUCAGCCUGGAGAAAAACAAAGAUAAAUAUUUCAGCUUCAUAAUAUUACUUGACUGCAUGCCUCUUUGUGCCUGUGGAUAGAGUAUUUUUUUGCUUAAAGUUUUCAGAGUACCUACUUCAUACAAAAAGUGAGGGUGGAUUUUGGCACCACUGCAGAUUCUUUUUCCAGAACCUUUUGGACUUUUUUUAAGUGUCUGGGCUCUAGCUCAAAGUUACUAACCACAUCUGGCAUCUGGAGCACAGAAAGUUCAAAGCAGGAUGUCUCAACAGCCAGCAAAAAGUUCCAAAAAUUUAGAGAGAUGUUUACAACUACAGAGUAUGAAAUGAAUUAUUAACUCAGGAUGACUCCUGGAAGAUAUCAUAUUUGUAUUUGGAAGAUGGAAGAUUAAAAAAAAAUGUUGCCUCUGGCACAUGUGAGCCUGCU